rnacentral:rRNA from 1 species
UGAGCAAUCUGCCCUUCUCUUCGGAAUAAGCGUUGGAAACGACGUCUAAUGCCGAAUACGACCUCCUUUCGCAUGAUCGGAGGUGGAAAGCUCCGGCGGAGAAGGAUGAGCUCGCGGCCUAUCAGCUAGUUGGUGUGGGUAAUGGCCCACAAGGCGACGACGGGUAGCUGGUCUGAGAGGACGACCAGCCACACUGGAACUGAGAUACGGUCCAGCUCCGUAGGGAG